rfam:Stegodyphus mimosarum contig94137, whole genome shotgun sequence.
GCCUUCGUGGUGUAGUGGUCAGCACGCUGGGCGCGUAUUCCAAAGGUACGUGGUUCGAAUCCCGGCGAAGACG